rnacentral:rRNA from 1 species
AUUGAACGCUGGCGGCAGGCCUAACACAUGCAAGUCGAGCGAGCGGCGGACGGGUGAGUGAUGUCUGGGAAACUGCCUGAUGGAGGGGGGUAACUACUGGAAACGGUAGCGAAUACCGCAUACCAUAAGAUGUGCCCAGAUGGGAUUAGGUAGAAGGGGGGGUAACGGCUCACCUAGGCGACGUGCCCUAUCUGGUCUGUGAGGGUGACCAGUCCAACUGGGAAUGAGGAACGGCCCAGGCUCCUACGGGAGGCAGCAGUGGGGGAUAUUGGGCAAUGGGGGGAACCCUGAACCAGCCAAGCCGGGGGUGUGGAGAAGGCCUUUUGGGUGUAAAGGACCUUAUGCUAGGGGGCGGUACUCGCAGAAUAAGCACCGGCUAACUCUGUGCCAGCAGCCGCGGUAAUAC